rnacentral:rRNA from 1 species
GGUAACUGCGUGCCAGCAGCCGGGGUAAUGGGGGAGGGGCAAGGGUUUGUCGGAUUUGUUGGGCGUAGAGAGCGGUGAGGCGGGCUGGAAGGUCGGCUGUGAAAACGCGAGGCGCAACGUCGAGACGUCGGUUGAAACCACCUGGCGAGAGUCCGGAAGAGGAGGGUGGAAUUCCCGGUGUAGCGGUGAAAUGCGCAGAUAUCGGGAAGAACACCCGUGGCGAAGGCGGCACUCUGGGACGGUACUGACGCUGAGACGCGAAAGCGUGGGGAGCGAACAGGAUUAGAUACCCGAGUAGUC